CUUUGCAGCACAUUGUUGGUCACUGGUCUUGGCUGAUCUUAGCUUUGUUGAGUGUGGCAUGGCAAAGAACUUUUUCCUGAAGUCCCUGGGUAAUCCUGGUCACUCCUGCCGAUUUGGCAGAGGUCUGGCUGUUUCUGCUGGAUCGUGCCACUGCUGCUGAUUCUCGUUUGCUAUCCUGGCCUUACUAAACUGGACUGCUGGUAUCCUGAGAAAUGGAGAUUGGAAUCACCUCAAAGAACUACUUCUAAACAGAGAUCUUCUAUUGUGGGAUGCCGUCCUGAGCUAUUCGGACUAAUGCUUACUCAUGGCCCUAAGGUGGUGGCUGCUAAAAUAUAAGAACAAUUAACUAGAGCCUUCUCCUUGAGUUAUCAGUGUGAGAAGAUUCCGAGAAUACCAUAAGAUGUUCCUGCCCUAACCACGGAAUGUACCUGCUGGCGUUAACUCCGGGUGUCCUCUCCAGAUGACCAGAUGACCACCUCGCUUGCUUCCUGCUUCAACCCCUAGGGGUGUCUCUGCCCUUCCCUCCUUUGUCUGGUGUGAAGGUUAUUUCCUUCUCUGUAAGCCUUAAAACCCACUUACCUCCCCGACAUUAAACGAAGCCUUGACAUAA